ACUCCUACGGGAGGCAGCAGUGGGGAAUUUUGGACAAUGGGCGAAAGCCUGAUCCAGCAAUGCCGCGUGAGUGAAGAAGGCCUUCGGGUUGUAAAGCUCUUUUGUCAGGGAAGAAACGGUGAGAGCUAAUAUCUUUUGCUAAUGACGGUACCUGAAGAAUAAGCACCGGCUAACUACGUGCCAGCAGCCGCGGUAAUACGUAGGGUGCAAGCGUUAAUCGGAAUUACUGGGCGUAAAGCGUGCGCAGGCGGUUUUGUAAGUCUGAUGUGAAAUCCCCGGGCUCAACCUGGGAAUUGCAUUGGAGACUGCAAGGCUAGAAUCUGGCAGAGGGGGGUAGAAUUCCACGUGUAGCAGUGAAAUGCGUAGAUAUGUGGAGGAACACCGAUGGCGAAGGCAGCCCCCUGGGUCAAGAUUGACGCUCAUGCACGAAAGCGUGGGGAGCAAACAGGAUUAGAAACCCGGGUAGUCCCAUGA
rnacentral:rRNA from 1 species